UACAAAGCUGUAAUCAUCAAAACACAGUAUGGUACUGGCACAAAAACAGACACUCAGAUCAAUGGGACAGAAUAGAGUACGGUAGGGUCCCUUCCCUCAGGAAAGAAAAAAACCUCAAGGUAACCUGGCUAUAUGCGUAUGUGACAACAUCCCUCACAAUCUUGUAACAUGAGACCACUUAAUCAGACUACAUGUUUGUGUGUUACCAUAUAUGGGAGACAAGGAAGCAAAAAAUAUAUAAAAACCCACAGCAUGUGGCAUUCGGGGCUCAGUUCUUUGGGAACCCAACUGAGUGGUGCUGGCAGGAAUAAAGUUGCUUCCUGGAAAGAAAAGCCUUGGUGUCACGACUCUGUGCGAGAAUCCUGCUACAUUACUUGGGGGCUUGUCCAGGAUUCAGAGACAGUUCAUUUCCUCCUGCUUUGCCACCAGGGAUAUGAACCUCGGAAUGCCGGGAGAGGCAGCCUUGCCUGGUGCCAGCAGACCGCUUGAUCUGCAGGAGACUAGCCCUCCCAGCAUGCCGGGGCGAGGACCCCGUGUGCCCCAAUGGAACUUGUGAGGCCCAGACACCAGCUCAGGGAGUGCCACCCGGCAGACUGGUAAGAACCUGGGUUCGUUUUGGCACACCUGCCCCCAAGAGGCAGAAGGGGGGGCCUGAUCACCUCCCAGAAUUGCCCUAGUAGUUCCACAAGGGGUGAGGAACGAAGCUGCAACUCUAAGGCACUGGGUAGCAGAUUGUGGAGUCGCCGUGUGACUGUGUGUGGGGACUUGUCUCUCAUUCAUUUCCUGGGUUAAUGACUAUGAUAAUUAGAGCCAACCGUCUCUGGUUAUUCUACCUCAGAACAGGGACUUUAAGGAAUAUUCCCAAGCAGCUGCCGAAACUCCUUUUGUUUCAGGGAAAUUCCCUGUCUUCUCCAGACUGACACGGACUGCCCAAUUCCACUGGUGGAAAACAAAACAACAAAACAAAACAAAACAAAACAAAACAAAACAAAACAAACCUGGAGUCUGCUCCUCUGUCUGAGCUGACAAGAGUUAAAACUGGGAAUUCUCUUUCUCUGCCUUUUGCUGGCACCUCUCCUCUUCUGCCUUCCCUCCCCCGCCUUCUUUUCUGUACCACUUUGGAGGUGGCCUGCAUAACUGGCUCCUCAAUGCCUCAGGCACCAUCGGCUCCUCCUCCCACCCUAGAGGUUGUGGAGUAAAGACCACCCACUUCAGAUUUCCCCACUGGUGCCCCAGAUACAAAUAGACAAGGGGGAACAAAUUGAUUAACUUUUAAAUGGACACAGAUGGAACACAUUUGGUAUUUAAACGGAUUUAAGUUUUUUGGUUUAAAAUAGACAUGUCUUUAGAGUUAUCAGCAUUAAACAUAUAAAACUGUUUUCUAAAGGUCAAAUAAGCUCUUUUAUCUCUGUUGCAAUUUGUCAGCAAAAAGGUGACUUAAAAUGAUGGUUAAUUUUGUCUGUCUCAAAGCUUUCGUGGGUAAUUGUUAAGAUAGCUUUCAAAGUCUUUGGUAACCUAAAACGUUAAAGUUUGGCUUGCAUGAUAAAUUGAGAUUGAAUUCAUUGGAUAUCUAAAGAGAUAAGAGGCUAAAGCACUAAUCACUAGAUGUAGGUUUGUGCUUCUGACUUGUUGCAGAGAAACUCCAGACAUUUGGAUCUAUGGGAAAACAUGCUUUAUCCUUAAUGGAUUCAUAAUUUUGCCAUCUAAAAACAUUCAGAUAUAACAUAAAGUUCACAAUUGGUUACUACUUAGUUUUCACUGGAGACUAAGGUUUCUAAGAGGUAAAAUUCUACUAAAUGUAGUUAAAACUAAUAAAAAUAAGACAAGCAACUCUGUAUGUAGAAAAGUAGGAGAUAUGAAAGAAAGAUAUAAGAAAUGGAAAUAUAUUUUUGUUGAAGGUAAAAGAAAGUAAUUUUGUUCUAAAUGGGACUGGUUAUUUGGAGGAAAAUGGCUUGGACAAAAUCUAAAUGUAAAGAAAAGUUGCAGUAAGUUCAUGAAGGAAAAUCUUUAAAAAGAAAUUUUAUGUGUGGUCAGGAUGGACUAAGGUUAAAAUAAAUGGAUUUUAAAAGUACAUUGGGUUAAGAUUAAAUUCCUCCUCUUUUGACCCAAAGGCCGAGAAAAUGAUAGCAAUACCCUUGGUGCCAGCCUCCAAAUCCUCCACAUUUCUGUUGUUCCUGUUCAGCAGAGGACUGGAUGCCUCUGCCGUAUGAGGGAUGGGUGAUGAAGGGCUUUUACUAAGCAGUAAAGGUAGAUGAAGUGGGUCCUUGGAUUCACCACAAGCAGAAUGAAGCCAGCAUCUCAAAACUGGGAGUGCAUUCCUAAUCCACCAAUGCUAUGCAAGCUGACCAUAUGAAAAAAGCAAUCCGCAAUUCCAGAGGCUCCAAGAGACUACAACCCUGCUUUAGUCACUCCAGAAGCUGACUAAUGUAGGCAUGGCAGAAGCUUGAGGAAUCGAUGGUCCGAUGAAACAAAAGACUGUCCUUAUUUUCUAUGUUUCCGUACUGUGAUGCACUGUCAUGCCUUGUUUCUCACUAUUAUUGUGAUUCUUGCUCUACUCUUUGCCAUAGGAUUGUCCAAGGCCACCCCAGCCAGCUGGAAAUGUGAGAGGUUUCGGUUAAUACUCACCUUCCUUUUGUGGAUAGGAUACUUCAUUGGUACCAACAUGGGGAAACAAUGGCCAUAAGAGACUAAAAAAUUAGAUUCCCACAAACUUUAUAGUAAAACAACAUACCCCAGUCCUACUACCAGGGUUUGGCUCUCAAAAGCUCAAUUACUGGGAAAAACUAUCUUGCCUAGUGGGGAAAAAGUUCAUCAUCGUCUCUGUUAAAAACUUAACAUGCCUAGGCCAAAGAUUUUAUAACUCAACUGCCCAGAAAACCCAAUGGUGGGGGACCCCAGAUCACCUUGAGCCAGAUCAGAUCCCCACCCCUUGUUUAACUUCUCUCACCUCUGAUAGGUCUGAGACAAUAUCAACGCAGCCAUCAAAUGGCAGGCCCCAGGUGGACUAUACUAGAUAUGUGGAAAGACAGCCUAUAUAGUACUUCCCUCAGUCUGGUCAGGGUCAUAUGUGCUGAAAACUAUUCAUCCAUCUUUCUUCCUGUUUCCACUUGACAGAAACAUUUGAGAGUUCAAAUGUAUAGGGACAGGAGACUCAAAGGAAGAAGCGUGCCUUACAAACUGGCAAUUAAAAAGAUGAUAAAUGGCCUCCCAAGUGUAUAAUCCAUUAUUAUAGCCCUGCCACCUGGCCAGAAGAUGGGUCUUAGGGCUACCGCACUCCCAUUUACAUGCAAAUAAACCACAUAAUGAGACUAUAAGCAGUUAUAAAAAUUAUAACCAAUAAAACUGCCAGAGCUCUUAACCUACUAGCCAAGCAACAAACCAAAAUGUGCCAUGCUAUCUAUCAAAAUCGCUUGGCCUUAGAUUACCUACUUAUUUCUGAGGGAAAAGUUUGUAAAAAGUUUAACCUAAGCAACUGCUGCCUACAGAUAGAUAAUGAGAAAAAAAGUCAUAGAAGAAAUCACAAGUCAAAUAAAAAGGACUGCUCAUGUCCCUGUCCAGACCUGUAACAGUUAAAACCCCGGGGAGUUAUUUGGAGGAUGGUUUUCAACUUUCAGGGGAUUCAAAAGUCUCAUAAAAAUUAUCCUCCUAGUUCUGGGAGGUUGCUUAAUCCUCCUACCUUGCUUGGGUCCCCUGGUCUGCCUCCAGUCUCACUGAGGCCAUAAUUAAAAAAAAAAAAAAAAAAAAAA